GGCUGAAACUCGCCUACAUGAAGCUGGAGUUGCUAGUAAUCGCGAAUCAGCAUGUCGCGGUGAAUACGUUCCCGGGCCUUGUACACACCGCCCGUCACACCAUGAGAGUUGGCAAUACCCAACGUACGGUGAUCUAACCCGCAAGGGAGGAAGCGUCCUAAGGUAGGGUCAGCGAUUGGGGUGAAGUCGUAACAAGGUAGC
rnacentral:rRNA from 1 species